ACUAGUCGGGGCGGUGACAUGACAGUAAACAGGAAGUGAAGGACAAGCGAGAAGAAAAUGCGAGUUUAAUAACCUACGUGGUUUCUAUUUUGUUUUUAUUAUAUAUUAUCAAAAGCAACUGGAUCCAACACAGCACCAAACAUGCAGUCAUUACGGAAACGCCGGGACAACCUUUUAACAAUUCGAGCAAAUUCACAAACUAGCUGCGUACUUGGUUCGAAGACCAACAUGGCACAGAAGAAAAAGCAAGAUUUCCAUUUAGAUUUGUGGUUCUGCCUAACCCUGCAGAACUGGAUUCUAGACUUUGGACGGCCUAUUGUCAUGAUCAUGCUUCCACUUGAGUGGUUUCCCCUGAACAAACCAAGCGCCGGAGACUAUUUCCACAUGGCCUACAAUGUCAUAACACCUUUCCUCAUGCUUCGGUUGAUUGAGCGCAGUCCAAGGGCGCUGCCCCGCUCAGCAGUUUACCUUUGCAUCAUCACUUUUGUCAUGGGAGCCAGCAUCCACCUGGUUGGAGACUCCAUCAACCACAGACUUGUUCUGAGUGGCUACAAGCUCCACCUGUCAGUCAGAGAGAACCCGAUCAUGAGAGACCUCAAACCUGCCUCCCUGAUUGACUCCUUUGAGCUGUUGUAUUUUUAUGAUGAACAUCUGGGACAUUUAAUGUGGUAUAUUCCCUUCUUUAUCAUUCUCUUCAUCUACUUCACUGGAUGUUUCACCGAGCCGACAGAGCAGAUGAAGAUUCCAGUCACAGGCCGGCUGUUACUUGUACCCAGCGCACUCUAUUACUGGUAUUUGGUUACGGAAGGACAAAUCACCGAACUGUUUCUCCUCACCUUUUUUGCAAUGGUGGCCAUGGUGAUUCAUCAAAGGCAUCAUGGCCUGAGACCAGACAGCAAUGGUCUUUUCUUGUUCUAUAGUUUUAGUGUUACUGUGCUUUUAGUGGCACUCUGGGUUGGUUAUCUAUGGAAUGACCCAGUACUACGCAACAAGUACCCUGGUUUUGUGUACGUUCCGGAACCGUGGUCCUACUACAUGUUACAUAUACAAAAAGAUCACUGAAUCAGAACAUUGUUACCUCAUUACACUUUUUACUAUAUGUUGGCUUGAAUUCUAUUUGCUUUCCCCCUUUUCGGUUACAAUAGAGUCUAUUGAAUGGACAGUGAUGAAGGAACGACAGGUUUACAAACUGUUAUAGUUUUUUUUUAGUUUUGUCUUUCUUUUCUCAUUGUUAAAGUAUUGGACAGUAUUUGCCGCAUUAGGUUUUUGACACCGCUCGGUUCGAACAUCACUGAUUGUUACUAAUGUAUUCAACACCGACUCUCCUUGUGCUCAAUGCAAUACUGAUGUCAAUAAUAAAUGAAUGGAAUGUU